GACGGGGGGUCCUAGCGUUGUUCGGAAUCAUUGGGCGUAAAGCGUGUGCAGGUGGUUUGGUAAGUUGGAUGUGAAAGCCUUGGGCUUAACCCAAGAAGUGCAUUCAAAACUGCCUAACUUGAGUAUGGAAGAGGGUCGUGGAAUUCCGCAAGUAGUGGUGAAAUACGUAGAUAUGCGGAGGAACACCAGCGGCGAAGGCGGCGACCUGGUCCUAUACUGACACUCAUACACGAAAGCGUGGGUAGCAAACAGG
rnacentral:rRNA from 1 species